rnacentral:misc_RNA from 1 species
ACCUUUUGUAGGCAUUACCUCAAACAACUUGCGGGAAUCACCUAAUUUUCCAGAUUUCACAUACCCAGCAAUCAUUAUAUUACAGGGCACAGGAUCCGAACUGGCAGAUAAUUCAAUCAAGGAAUUAGCAUCAGCUAAAAACCGACAUUUUGCGUACAUGUUAAUCAAGCUGUUGCUUAUGAAAGCGUUUGAAUCAAGGCCGGAUUUCAAAACAAGGCAGUGGAUUCGUUGGCCUUGAAAGAUAGACAAAUGGGUCGAGCAAGCUAAAACCAAAACCAGCUUGUAAUUGGGAUCUUUCCGGUAUGGUGUGGGAUUGACGAAAGCAAUGAGAUGGAGAAGAGGGUUUUCUUGUUGCUGCGAAAAUUAGGGGGUUUGGAGAGUUUAGGUAGAUACCCAUUUGAGAGUGGACGCUGGUGAGACAAAAGGAGAAGAGAUG